rnacentral:lncRNA from 1 species
AUUUGACCUGGCUUUUUCUUUAGCUUUACGUUAAAGCUAAAAUUAAGAUUGAAGUUUUUGCUGCGAGGAAGCUGAGUUUAUUUAUUUAUUUAUUUAUUCCAGAGGAAAGAGCGGCAGUCAAAUUAACAUUUUUGUAGAAGCUUUUUUCGAGGAUCUAGCUUUUUUAUAUAGAAGAAAGUUAGAUUAGAAUUAAAGUACAUAAAAAAGCUUUG